AGAAGGCUUUGGAAGACAGAGAAAAGAAUGGUGGGCGCCUCCUCUCUGCAACCAAGACUCCUCUCUUCUUUUGUUGGAGAUCGCUUUAUUCAAUCCACACAGCCUCUCUGUAAACUCUUUCACUACAAUCCAGGAAGCAAACAUGUAUCAAUGCAAUUAUCCAGAGGAUUUUCUGGCUUAACUGAUUUUCUGUUCAAUAAAAGAAAUCUUGAUGAAGUGGCAAACAGCAAGCGCAGACGUCUAAGGCCUGGAAAAGUAUCACCUUGUAGACCCG
rnacentral:misc_RNA from 1 species